rnacentral:rRNA from 1 species
AAACGAUUGAAGUCAGUCAUGUCUAUUGGUUUCAGCUAGCUCUGCUAGUGUAUUACCUUUAGACGGGUCAACAUCAGUUUUAGACGGUGGAAAAAGGCAUGAGGAAAGUAGCAUCUCCGGAUGUGUUAUAGCCUCGUGUUGCAUACACUGUUCGAGACUGAGGAAUGCAGCUCGCCUUUAUGGCCGGGGUUCGCCCACGUUCGAGCUUAGGAUGUUGACAUAAUGGCUUUAAACGA